rnacentral:lncRNA from 1 species
AAAAUCGAAUUUCCAAGACUUACGACCUAACAUUAUAGAACCAAAUCCAACCGAACAUUUAUGCCAUUUUCGCAUGGCUAAAAGUUUACAUACCAAAUUUCAACAAAACAUAUUAGCCUAUACAUGCCGAAAUGUUCUCCUAGACCGACUAAAAAGAAGAUACCAAAAGUUGCUAGCCGGUGUGAUGACUUCGAUGACGGCCCGAUCACGCAAAAAGAGAUGAGUCCAAGAAACCUAAAAUAGGUGACAAGGAAACACCGAGUGAGUAUAUAACUCAGUAAGUCAUAAGCAAUGCACCACCAUCCAUUAAUAACAUUAUCACAAGAGGAAACAAAAUGGAACGAGGCUAGUUACUCCAUCCAUACCGAACCAUACAAUAGUUCCUUAGACCUAUCGGUUCAAUCUCAUACCAAGUCAUGCAUUCACAUUCCAUAUACUAAUCAAUAGGAUAUUUGAGGCAUUUUCAUACAUCAUUGUAUUUUCGUUACAAUCAUACAACUAAACGACCUUUCACCUAUUCCGCGAUAAAUCUUAUGUACAUGACUUCAAUUAUAAUUGUCACAUAGGUUCAAACUUACCAAGCUCAACUCCAAAUAUAAACAUAGCGCCUAUUAGCCAUGAACUCAAGGUACUUACCCGAUCCGCUGUCCGUGAUCAACUCAAUAAUGUCGCACACUUAGUGUCCAUAGUGAUUCAAAAGUAUAUAUUAAGUCCGCACACUCAGUGUUAUAUAAUCAACUCGCACACUUAGUGCUAUAUAAUCAAACUCGCACACUUAGUGCUGUACAAUUUAAACCCGCACACUUAGUGCCAAUCUCAUGAUCAUAAAUGUUUAUACCCGCACACUUAGUGCCGAGAUCAACAACUCAAUACAUCUCACCUCUUUUCUUUUCAUUCAACACUUUCAUCACCACAUGCAUACAUGUAUAUAUAUUUAUCAUUCCAUUCAGCAUCAUUACAUAGACGUUAUGACCAUUUAAAUUAAUACAAACUAUAUGCUUAAUGACUUACUUUGUGUUGGGUAAGACGGUUCCAACUCGGCUACUCGAUGAUCUUUUCUUUGUCUUUGCUUGAUUCUCCUCCUUUAACUCCUUGAGCUUAAUCAAUAAAUCAACUAGUUUAACCAUCUUGCUAAACAUUCAUAAUUCAAUUACACAUGCAUAUGUAUGUCUGUAUAUUCGGCAACCAUCCUCACUAAUUACCCAUUUAGUCGAUUAUACACAUAAUUAAAGGUAACAUCACGAAUGGGCAUACUUAUGUAUAUAUAUAUGUAUAUAUAUACUUCGGAAUGGGCAUCACAAUUAGAUUUAACACCACCUUCAUACUCAAUUAGAUGGCCGAAUGCAUGUAUAUAUGCACAAUGUCAACUAUAACAUCAUUUAAACACCUAAUUUCAUCUCAUGAAUACUCGACCCAUUUUUUUUAACAAUAAUUCAUGUAUCCUUUUUAUUAAACACUCAAAAUCAACCAUCUUCAUACCUCAUCACCAAAGACAUCAAAAUACCAACCAAGAAUGUAACAUUCAUGGCCGAAUAUCAUCUCCAUCAAUUAACAAAAUUUGAACCAUGGCUAGGUAGAUUUCAAACUUACAACUUAAAAUAUACAUGAAUCUCAAAGAAUAAUAUCAACCAUACCUCAAUCUAGUUACAUGCAUGGCCAAACUUCUUAGAAACUUUUCCCCUAGGCACCGAAUAUUCAAGAGCUUCUUAAUCAACUUAAAGGUGACCAAAUGCCUUAACUUCAAUUUCUUCUUUUUCUUUUCAAUUCAGCCAAGAAGAACCAAAGAACACAACUUGUUUUUCUUUCUUCCUUAGAACAUUCGGCCAAGGGAAAUGAAGAAAGACGGACACUUUUUUUUUAUUUUUUCUUUCUAGUUUCGGCCAAAUGGGGGGGGGACAACCACACACUUUUUUUUUGUUUUCAUCAUAUUCCCUUUCAUUAUUUUAUGCCCAUGCUCCUUAUUUUAUCAUACUUCCCAUGAAACACUAACUCAACAUGUUUAUGACAUGUUCUUGCCCAUCAUACUUGGUCUACCAUGCUUGUCAUGGCCGGCCACUACUAAUUAGGGGGAAAUUGACAUGCAAGUCCCCCCUUUUUAUUUCAUGCACUAAUAGAUCCUUAUGCUUUGACCUAUCACAUUUCAAAAUUUUCUCACAUAAGUCCUAUUUACUAAAAUUCACUUACAAUUAAACAAAAUUCAAACACGAAAUUUUAACACAUGCACAUGUACAUAUAAUGAGCAUCAAUUAUGACGGUUAAUUAUCUUUAUGACUCGGUUUAGCGGUCCCGAAACCACUUCCCGACUAGGGUCAAUUUUGGGCUGUCACAACUCUCCCCCACUUAAGAAAUUUUCGUCCCCGAAAAUCUUACCUGUAAAUAAGUUUGGGUAUCGUUCUUUCAUCGAGCUCUCGGUUUCCCAAGUAGCUUCCUCGAUCCCUUGUUUGAGCCAUAACACCUUUACUAGCGGAACCCUUUUGUUUCGCAACUCCUUCACUUCACGAGCUAGGAUACACAUCAGUUCUUCUUCAUAACUCAUAUCGGCUUGAAUUUCAACCUCUGAUGGGCUAAUUAUGUGCGAUGGAUCAGAUCUAUAGCGUCGAAGCAUCGAAACAUGAAAGACGUCGUGGAUCUUUUCAAGUUCAGGGGGCAAAAUCAAUCGAUACGCAACUGGACCAACUCGUUCAGAGAUUUCGUACGGCCCAAUGAAUCUCGGACUCAACUUGCCCUUACGGCCAAAUCUGAGUACCUUUUUCCAAGGCGAAACUUUAAGAAACACUUUAUCUCCCACCUGAUAUUCAAUGUCUUUUCGUUUCAAAUCCGCAUACGAUUUCUGACGAUCUGUGGCUGCUUUCAAACUUUCACGGAUUACCUUUACUUUCUGUUUGGUAUCUUUAAUCAAAUCAACUCCGAAAAUUUUACUUUCACCGAGCUCGGUCCAAAACAAUGGUGUACGGCAUUUACGACCGUACAAAGCCUCGUAAGGUGCCAUCUUAAUACUUGAUUGAAAACUAUUGUUGUAAGCAAAUUCAAUCAAAGGUAAAUACCGUUCCCAUGAACCACUAAACUCGAGGAUGCAACAUCUCAACAUAUCCUCAAGUAUCUGAAUUAUCCGCUCGGAUUGACCAUCGGUUUGUGGAUGAAAAGCGGUGCUAAAAUGCAGCUUGGUACCCAAAGCUUCUUGCAAUUUCUUCCAAAAUCGCGAGGUGAAUCUCGGAUCUCUAUCCGACACGAUAGAAAUAGGCACCCCGUGUAAUCUCACAAUCUGAGAAACAUACAAUUUGGCUAGUUUAUCCAAUGAAAAAUCCGUACGCACGGGGAUAAAGUGAGCCGACUUAGUCAGUCUAUCAACAACAACCCAAAUCGCAUCCUUCUUACUUGCUGACAAUGGCAGUCCGGACACAAAGUCUAUUGUGACUCGAUCCCAUUUCCACUCGGGUAUCAUGAUCGGCUGAAGUAAUCCUGAAGGCACUUGAUGUUCUGCUUUCACUUGUUGACAUAUUAAACAUCUCGAAACAAAGUCGGAGAUGUCUCGUUUCAUACCAUGCCACCAAAACUGACGUUUCAAGUCGUUGUACAUUUUCGUACUCCCCGGGUGAAUUGACAUUCGGCUACAAUGGGCUUCGUUCAGAAUCAUCGAAAUGAGUUUUGAAUUUCUUGGAAUACACAACUGACUUCUGAACCUUAAACAAUCGUCAUCAUCAAUUUGAAAUUCGGAUUCCAUAUUCGGAACACAUUCAGCCCGUUUUGCAACCAAUUCAUCAUCGACUUUCUGAGCUUCACGAAUUUGACGAAUCAAUAAUGGUUUGGCCUUUAAUUCAGCUACUAACACAUUGUCGGGUAGAGCAGACAAGUGCACAUUCAUCGCUCAUAAAGAAAAUAGUGAUUUCCGGCUUAAGGCGUCCGCAACCACAUUAGCCUUUCCCGGGUGGUAAUCAAUGACAAGCUCGUAAUCUUUCAACAACUCAAGCCAACGUCUUUGUCGCAGAUUUAAGUCUCUUUGAGUCAUCAAAUAUUUGAGACUUUUGUGAUCCGAAAAUACAAGGCACUUUUCACCAAAUAAGUAAUGUCGCCAUAUUUUUAAAGCGAAUACGAUGACAGCUAGUUCGAGAUCAUGGGUCGGAUAAUUUUUCUCAUGUGGCUUUAAUUGUCUCGACGCAUAGGCCACCACUCGACCUUCUUGCAUCAAUACGCAACCCAACCCAAGUAGGGAUACGUCACUAUAAAUGACAAACUCUUUGCCUGAUUCGGGUUGCACUAAAAUUGGAGCUUCAGUCAAAUAAGUUUUCAGUUGAUCGAAACUUUUCUGACAUUUCUCCGUCCAUUCGAACUUAGCAUCCUUUUGAAGUAGCUUCGUCAUUGGUGUGGCUAUCAUCGAGAAACCUUUUACAAAUCGUCGAUAAUAACCGGCGAGCCCCAGGAAGCUCCGAACUUCGGUAAUAUUUCUUGGAGGCUUCCAGUUAAGUAUGGCUAAAAUUUUGCUCGGGUCAACUCGAAUACCCGAUGCGGAUACCACAUGACCCAAGAAGCUAACCUCUCUUAACCAGAACUCACACUUACUGAACUUAGCAUAUAACUGCUUAUCCCACAAAAUUUGCAACACUAAUCCCAGGUGCUCAGCAUGUUCGGUCUCAUCUCUUGAGUAGACCAAGAUGUCAUCAAUGAACACAACUACGAACCGAUCCAAAUACUGUCUGAAGAUCCGAUUCAUCAAAUCCAUAAAUACCGCAGGGGCAUUAGUGAGCCCAAACGGCAUCACUAAGAACUCGUAGUGACCAUAUCUCGUUCUGAAGGCAGUUUUGGGCAUGUCCGAAUCUCGAAUUCGCAACUGAUAAUAGCCCGAUCUCAAAUCUAUUUUUGAGAACACUGAGGCUCCCUUUAGUUGGUCGAACAAAUCAUCAAUACGCGGUAACGGAUAUUUGUUCUUUAUUGUCACUUUAUUCAGCUGACGAUAGUCAAUGCACAACCUCAUGGUUCCGUCCUUCUUUUUCACGAACAAUACUGGUGCACCCCAAGGUGAGAAACUUGGUCGAGCGAAACCUCUAUCCGUCAACUCUUGCAAUUGAGCUUUCAAUUCCUUUAACUCGGUUGGUGCCAUACGAUACGGAGCUAUCAAAAUUGGCGUAGUUCUAGGUACAAGCUCAAUACCAAACUCUACCUCCCGAACAGGUGGUAAACUCGGUAAUUCUUCAGGAAAAACAUCCGGGUAUUCACAAACCACCGGUACAGAUUCGGGUUUUUUUUUCUAAUUCCUUGUCAUCAAGUACAUACGCAAGGUAUGCUUCGCACCCUUUUCUUACAUAUUUCUGGGCCAACAUUGAGGAUAUUGCAGCUGGCAACCCCUUAAGUCCGUAGACUCAACUCGGAUUAUCUCGUUAUUUGCGCACCUCAAAUCGAUGGUUUUUCUUUUACAGUUCACCACUGCAUCAUGUACGGUCAACCAAUCCAUCCAUACCAAGAAUAACAUCAAAUUCAUCAAACGGCAAAAGCAUCAAAUCAGCCGGAAAACAGGAUUCUCAGAUUAUUAGAGGGCAUCUCUUACACACUUUAUCAACAAGUACGUAUUGACCCAAAGGGUUUGACACUCGAAUUACGAACUCAGUAGACUCAACAGGUAGAGUCUUACUGGAUGCUAAGGUUUCACAUACAUAUGAAUGAGUAGAGCCAGGGUCAAUCAAUGCAAUCACAUUAGUAUCAAAGAGAAUGAAGGUACCAGUGAUGACGUCAGGGGAGGAUGCCUCCUCUCGUGCGCGAAUGGCAUAUGCUCUAGCAGGAGUACGGUUCUCGGCUCGAACAGUCGUAUCAGAGGCCCCUCUCUGACUACCACCCCUACCUCCUAAAAUUCUCGGUGGUCUACCUCUAGUUGUCACUCCACUAGGUCUUGCACCUUGAAUCUUAUUCUUCUCAUCAAGAUCCGUGCAAUCUCUAAUGAAGUGGUCCUUUGAACUGCAUCCGUAACAGGCCCUGUUAGUAGACUUACCCCAACAUUCACCUAGGUGUCGUCUUCCGCAUUGGGGACAUUCAGGUUUCUCUUGACGAUUAUUGCCCACACUAGGUACCGAAGUAGCUCGGGAGUCCGUCGGUGGUCGUGCUCUGAUGGAAAUUCCUGCAGUCGUCCUCGACUUAUUAGUGUCCUCCCUGAACUUCUUUACAGCUGAGAACGGAGCUUUACCCGUCGAUCUUUUACGAUAGUCUCUAGCUUCAAAUUCAGCCUUCUUCUUCUCCUUUCCAAGUUCUUCCGCCUUGCAGGCUCGUUCGACUAGUGUCACGAAUUCUUUUAUCUCCAAAAUACCCACUAGUAGCUUUAAAUCUUCAUUCAACCCUUCUUCGAAUCUUUUGCACAUAGCAACCUCAUCAGCUACACACUCCCGGGCAUACCUACUGAGUCUUACGAAUUCAUGUUCAUAUUCAGAUACUGUCAUGCGGCCUUGCUUGAGUUCCAAGAAUUCCUUACGCUUUUGGUCAAUGAACCGUUGACUAAUAUAUUUCUUUCGAAAUUCCGUUUGAAAGAAGUCCCAAGUAACUCGUUCAUUUGGGACUAUGGAAAUCAGGGUCCUCCACCAAUAGUAGGCCGAGUCCCGCAACAAGGAUAUAGCACACUUUAGACAUUCAUCGGGCGUGCAUGACAGUUCAUCAAACACCCGAAUGGUGUUAUCAAGCCAGAACUCUGCCCUUUCAGCAUCAUCAGUAACUAUGGCCCUGAACUCCUCAGCCCCGCGCUUCCUAAUCAAGUCUACAGGUGGCUUACUCAGCCUCACAGGAUCAGUAACUGAUCGCAUUACGGGCUCUUGGGGUGGAUCAUUCAAAUUCGGGAAUUGUUGGACAGCCGGAUUGGUUCGGGCAUAUUGCGUGACCCACUCAUUCAUCAUGGUAAAGAAGGCUUGUUUAGCCCCCUCACCUUGAUUAUUCGCAGAUGACUGAGGUUCAACAGGCGGCAUCCCUUGUGCAGGAGCAGCCGCUACACUUUCAACAUCAUCCGCCAAGGUUCUCUCUACACCGGGAUCCAUUUACUAAUCAAAACAAAAAUUUUAACCGUCAGAAGUCAUCACACAUUUAAACAUUAACAUUAAGGCAUGUACAGCUAGACUCAUACGUGCUAUGGUAGUCCUAGAACCGACUAAACCAUAGAUCUAAUACCAAUCAAAUGUAACACCCCGAACCCAAGGCCGUCGCCGGAGUCGAACACGAGGUGUUAACAGACUUCAAACCACUAAAAAAAAAAUUUCCCAGACAAGCUGCCAAGCUGCAUACUAGUCGCUUUAAAAAUCAUAUCUUCAGUUCUGAAACUCGAAAUCCAGUUCCGUAAAUUUUCCCUGAAACUAGACUCAUAUGCCCAUCCACAUAUUUUUUUCUAGAAUUUUUGGUUGGGCCAAUUAGUACAGUUUAUUAGUCAAAGUCUCCCAUGUUACAGGGAUCGACUACACUGACCUUUGCGCAUUACGACUUGGAUAUCUCCCUGUACAGGGCUUAAUUACUGAUUUCGUUUGUUUUUAUAGAAACUAGACUCGAAGGGGAAUCUAUGCACAUAUGGCAUGACUUCUAAUUAUCUCUGGUUAAUUUAUAAUGAAUUUCCAAAGUCGGAACAGGGAAUCCAGAAAUCACUCUGGCCCUGUUUCACAAGAGUUUAAUUAUCUCCUAACAUACAGCUCAUAUGGUCGUUUCGUUUCUUCUAUAUGAAAAUAGACUCAUCGAGAUUCGAUUACAUAAUUUAUACAUUAAUUAAUUCCACUCCUACUAUUUUUAGUGAUUUUUCAAUCUCACGUCACUGCUGCUGCCAGCAUCUGUUACUAAAGCAACUAUGACUAGCCAUGCCAAGGGCUAAUCAUUGUCAAACAUCUCCCUACUACACUAUUGCCAUAUCAUGAAUUUUGACACCAAAAAUAAUCAACCAUGACAUAUGGCAUAAAAAUCGAAUUUCCAAGACUUACGACCUAACAUUAUAGAACCAAAUCCAACCGAACAUUUAUGCCAUUUUCGCAUGGCUAAAAGUUUACAUACCAAAUUUCAACAAAACAUAUUAGCCUAUACAUGCCGAAAUGUUCUCCUCGACCGACUAAAAAGAAGAUACCAAAAGUUGCUAGCCGGUGAGAUGACUUCGAUGACGGCCCGAUCACGCAAAAAGAGGCGAGUCCAAGAAACCUAAAAUAGGUGACAAGGAAACACCGAGUGAGUAUAUAACUCAGUAAGUCAUAAGCAAUGCACCACCAUCCAUUAAUAACAUUAUCACAAGAGGAAACAAAAUGGAACGAGGCUAGUUACUCCAUCCAUACCGAACCAUACCAUAGUUCCUUAGACCUAUAGGUUCAAUCUCAUACCAAGUCAUGCAUUCACAUUCCAUAUACUAAUCAAUAGGAUAUUUGAGGCAUUUUCAUACAUCAUUGUAUUUUCGUUACAAUCAUACAACUAAACGACCUUUCACCUAUUCCGCGAUAAAUCUUAUGUACGUGACUUCAAUUAUAAUUGUCACAUAGGUUCAAACUUACCAAGCUCAACUCCAAAUAUAAACAUAGCGCCUAUUAGCCAUGAACUCAAGGUACUUACCCGAUCCGCUGUCCGUGAUCAACUCAAUAAUGUCGCACACUUAGUGUCCAUAGUGAUUCAAAAGUAUAUAUUAAGUCCGCACACUUAGUGCUAUAUAAUCAACUCGCACACUUAGUGCUAUAUAAUCAAACUCGCACACUUAGUGCUGUACAAUUUAAACCCGCACACUUAGUGCCAAUCUCAUGAUCAUAAAUGUUUAUACCCGCACACUUAGUGCCGAGAUCAACAACUCAAUACAUCUCACCUCUUUUCUUUUCAUUCAACACUUUCAUCACCACAUGCAUACAUGUAUAUAUAUAUUUAUCAUUCCAUUCAGCAUCAUUACAUAGACGUUAUGACCAUUUAAAUUAAUACAAACUAUAUGCUUAAUGACUUACUUUGUGUUGGGUAAGACGGUUCCAACUCGGCUACUCGAUGAUCUUUUCUUUGCCUUUGCUUGAUUCUCCUCCUUUAACUCCUUGAGCUUAAUCAAUAAAUCAACUAGUUUAACC